rnacentral:lncRNA from 1 species
GGGACUGGGGCAGACACCAGAAAAAAAACACACACACAACGGGCAAACAAUACCGGCAGUGUGCUGAGGGAAAGGGAGACCCAUGAAUUGGGAGUUUGAUAAGGAUUUUCUCCCGCGCGCGCCCGCUCUCUCAACAGCCCCUUCAGUUUUCCCGGCACCCCCCUCCUUCCCUUUGCCUGCUCGCUUGUUUGGGCCUCAAACAGUGCGCUGCCUUUGUUCGGGGAUACAGGUGAACGGCCAUCAUGUGAUGCACGCACACGCGGGCGCGCACAUAAAAAGCUUUUUCAGAGCGCCCGGCUCGCCUCAGACCCGAAGACGGGAGAGGAGACCCGGGCCGGGAGCAGCGGGGACGGCGGCGCUGCUCCAUCCCGCUGCAGCACACCCCGUCCCGCCGAGGUCGCCUGAGUGUGAUACUCAAGGGAAAGGCAGCGAGGAGCAAAGGGAGAGGCCAACAUUUCAUCAUGACACUCAGAAAAUCGAUGGGUCUGCGGAUGUCCUGACUCGUGAGACAUCAUGGGACUUGAUUUAUGGAGGAUGUGUGAGAUCAGGACCAGGCCUGAUGCUUGCCAGGGCACCCAAGGCCAACCCCGUCUCCUCUGCUUCCUCACGCCUUUCUCUCCGAAAUCCUCCCCAGUCUGAUAUCAGCGGGCUCCCAGCAUUCGGGGCAUUUUCAAGGACUUUCCAUGAACAGGAGAAGCGGAGAGGCCCCAAAGCCCACGCUCCCUGGUGCUGUGGCGGCCCUGAUCUCCUGUUGCAGGGGACAAAGAAGCGUGAAAGCCACCCCAAAUUUGAUCAGCCACCUUUGUCGGCAUGACCAGAGCCCUUCAACUCGUAAAUGUCCUUGCAAUGGGGAGCCAGGCACGGGAACCGCAGCCAGGCUCUGGCCUUCAUCACCCCUCAUCAGGAUUACGGUGGAUUACGGUGCCAGCUGCUUUGGAGAGGAGGUGCAGGAACCCUCCUGGAAAGCAGAGGGGUCCAACACCUCUGAGCAACCACAAAGACCCCGGAUCAGCUCCCGACUCAUCGUCUUGGACAGCCCAAGGCUCCCCAAGCACACGGGAAGGACUUCCAGUGCCACACAAGUCCUCCCCAAAGUCCCUGGGACAAUUUAGCAGGGUCUGGGAAGAUCAAAGAAGAGUGAGGCAGGGCAGGUCCGUCUGCUACCUGCUUUGAUGGGUGGCAAGAGCCUCCCUGGCUGUUAACCCCCUCGACUCCUGCUGGAGAGGCCAGGUGUGAUCCCAAAAUGUGACUCCCCCAAAAGCAAGCACUGAAGGGGAAAGGAGGUUUUGCAUUUUCUCAAGGGGAGUCUCCAACAUCCAGCGCGAUACGGUGCAGGGAGCCAGGUGCUCUCGGGCUGCGUGGCCAAGGAGGGAUGCCUGGAGGGAGGAGAAAGGAAUUGUGUACAUUUGGGCUGAAUGAUGAGACAAGGGGAUCCUCCCAAGGGGUCGUAGCAGUGUUGGGUGACUCGGGUGGGCUCGUUCAGCAGGGACCAAGGUGGCUCCGGGGGGACCUUCAGCUCCAGCAGCCCGCUGGCAGCAGGGAGGCUCCCGGGGAGCCAGGGGAAGGGUUAAGUCGGGAAGGCUUCAGCCCGCUGCCUUGGCCCCUGUAAUUCCUCCAGAGAGUAGGACUGGGAGAACAAGGAGCCCAUUCUGUUCGCAGGAAUUAAUAGCAAGGAGUCAUCUGGGGUGUCAUUCAAGCCCUGAUCAGCUCCCGGAGGAAUGUGAGGGAGAGCGAGCGAGGGAGCACGGCCCCAGGCCGAGGCACCAAAGCCAGGGCAGGAGCGCUUGUGCUUGUAACCAGAGCUACCAGCCGGAAUUCGGGACCCCAGCCUCCGCAUCCCCUCUGCCCUGCGCCCCCCUUCUCAAAGGGCCAGCUCCUAAUCUGGGGGCUCAUUUCCAGACCCUUUGUCCCUUGUUCCCCGUUCGUUUCAUGGCGGGGGAAGAUGUCCCAACCCAUCACCGCCACCACCUCCCUUCCACCAAGCUGCCAGGGCCAUCAGGAAAGCUCAGAUUUGUCCUCCCCAGCAAGCUUGCCCGUGGAGAGGGUCUCCAAGGAGCCCAUAAGUGCAUCUGGGGAUGAGGGGUAGCUCGGGGGACUGCAGAGUUCAGUGCUGAGCCCUUUGCCACCACAUCAGCUCUCCCCAAGUGACGGUGGUCACCACAGUUUCUGCAACAAAAGACCAGGCCAGAAAAUGAGCACAUCUGUAUUUCACCACAUUGCACCAUGGCCGUGCGGUGACACCACAAUGCUGCCUGUGAUGGCAACCAGCAAAAAAGAUUUCGGCCACAUCUCUACUGGCCUGAGAAGGGGACCUCAGAGUGGUCCAUCUCUGCCUGGUUGCAUUGCAGGUGGCCUGCAUGUUCACGCCUGGUGGCACAAGGUGUCCCAGGGCUAUGGAGAUGCACCUGGAUUAUCUCUGCAGGGCCACUAUAUGGCCAACGGGGUCUUCAGGGCAACCCUUCAGGCCAGCCCUAGGUGUGUGCAUGGCCGCAAGGCUGACUGUGAGCUCAGCUCACCAGCAAGGCUAGGUAGGCGGCAACCCAUAUGAAAUGUGAGCAGAGCCCUGCUGGAAUGCACGAGUUGCUUUUGCUGGCCCACAUUUUGCAGCCAAAGUGCCUCUCACCAAAGCUUUUCCUCCUCCCCAUGCACACCGGCUUGGUGUGAAAAUGGUUUUAAGCGCUAGCUCUGCAUCUCAGCAUCCUGCAAGAGAUGCACGGUGCCUCCAGGACGGACUCCUCCGCCCCCUCCCCAUCCCCAUCCCACCACCACCACCACCACAAUGAGCACCCCUUGUUGUAGAGGGGUUAAUAAAUGAUGCAAGAAAGGAGCCCUUUAAUGCACAGUGACCUCUGGCCUUUCAUAAAUCACAGUGUUGGGCUGUGAGUGCGCGGGGGGCGCGAGGCGGUGGGGGGGGAGAUGAUGGGAGGGGGUCCAUGCAGCUGCGCCACGGAGUUGACAUUGUUCCCACCAUCACUAAAGUGCAACAAAUCCCUCUAUUGUGUUCCUGGUUUAUCUGGUUCCUCUUGUUUAUUAGCAGAGGUUGUUUGGCGCUGGCUCCAGCCCUGGGCGGGUGGAAAGAGUGUUGGCACGCA